AUUGAACGCUGGCGGCAUGCCUUACACAUGCAAGUCGAACGGCAGCACGGGUGCUUGCACCUGGUGGCGAGUGGCGAACGGGUGAGUAAUAUAUCGGAACGUACCUUAUCGUGGGGGAUAACGCAGCGAAAGCUGCGCUAAUACCGCAUACGCCCUGAGGGGGAAAGCGGGGGACCGUAAGGCCUCGCGCGAUUAGAGCGGCCGAUAUCUGAUUAGCUUGUUGGUGGGGUAAAAGCCCACCAAGGCGACGAUCAGUAGCUGGUCUGAGAGGACGAUCAGCCACACUGGGACUGAGACACGGCCCAGACUCCUACGGGAGGCAGCAGUGGGGAAUUUUGGACAAUGGGGGCAACCCUGAUCCAGCAAUGCCGCGUGAGUGAAGAAGGCCUUCGGGUUGUAAACUGCUUUUGUACGGAACGAAAAGGACGUCUGGUUAAUACCUGGGGCGUCAUGACGGUACCGUAAGAAUAAGCACCGGCUAACUACGUG
rnacentral:rRNA from 1 species